rnacentral:misc_RNA from 1 species
GCUUGAACUAAGCUUCUUCAUUACAAAGGUUGGAUUAUAGUAGUAGAGUUGGGAAAUCAACUCUCUUACAUUAUUAUGGGCUGUAAUGAGCGCGUGAGCAGUUCUAUGAUCGCAUUAAAAUCUCCCAUAAAUGGACAAGAAGUAUCGCCCGUCCGCUUGCAGGUCCUCAUUUAUAGUCGCUUAGAGUUCAGGGUGAAAACGAAAGUCAAAAAGAAACGAGAUUUCUCAUUGAAAUGUGCAUAAAAACAUCCAAAGCUAUUGCUGUUCAUAUUUCAUUUCCGAGGUCAAUGUCUGCCUGCUGAAAAAGAAAUUUAACCGCAAGGAAGCUGAAACAAUCACCAUCACCAUUUACACAUAUACCUUUUAAUGGUACAAUCCUUCACUUGAGUCCCAAUAAAACAAUGGGGCUGACUCGGUAUUUAAAGCAAAGCCAAUUCUGACAUGAAAACCAAUUUCACACUUACACCAAUUCCAUCUUACUGUAAGGGUAUUAGGGAUUGCACUGUGGAACAUUCCUAAGAAAUUAUCAUCAUCUAACCAAUUAUAACAAGAGUAUAAUUACAUGUCAGGAGCUGAAAGGGUUAGGUGACUUUCCCCGUCAUGCUGUACACAUUUUCUGUGGUGACUGCUGCUUUGUAAAUAAUGAAGGUUCCCCAGUAAAUCAAAUAAAAAAAUGCCCCAGCAUCUGCAAUUCAGAACCCUUUCCGUAGAACUAUGCCAUGUAAUGCUCUCCUUUGGCA